rnacentral:rRNA from 1 species
ACUUCGCUAGGUUUAGGCCAGCAUCGGUUUCCGUAGGGGGAUAAAAGCUUUAGGAAUGUGGCUCUUCGGAGUGUUAUAGCCUAUUGUAUAAUACCCUUAUGGGGACCGAGGUACGCGCUCUGCAAGGAUGCUGGCGUAAUGGUCAUCAACGA